rnacentral:snRNA from 1 species
GAUUAAGACAGCAGGACGG